rnacentral:rRNA from 1 species
UAGCUAAGGUAGGAUUCGCGACGUGGAUACCACGGGUAGGUGGGUCGGAUAGCGGAGUUGCGCUCGGGUCGCGGCGGCGUGAGAGCCAGGGAGAGAGGCGGAGCGCCGGCGGCAGGAGCUGCAUAGCUAGCAGGCACAUAAAAAACCAUCGUCUCCUUUUUCUCCUCAAGGCGUGUCCCGGAGAGGGUAUCGAAACGACGAGCGCAGUACCGUGCUGUGGGUCAGCGAAGUUCGGAAGUUGGUUACCCCGCCGACGCGCGCACGGCGGUGGUAGCUCCAGGUGAAGCCGCUCGGACGGCGCGGAGGGGCGGGCGCACAGAUGAAAAAGGAGCCAGUACCGCCAGCGACGUUGGCGAGGGCUACUGCGGGCGCUAAGAUCGGAGCCUUCGAGUCAGAAGACCCGGACCUAGGCCCGCCGCCAUCUCCGCCGGGGCCGAGGGCGCGGAGGCGUCCUGCUCCUUCUUCCGGAGGUGUCCUCCUCCUAGGGGCAGCCCCGGAUGAAGGAGAAGUAGUCCUUGUACGAAGCCCUACCGAAGGCCUCUACUCCUUUAUACUAAUACGCCAUCAACUAUUCGGUAGGGACUGUUGUACCUACUUUCCUCCAGAACUAAUAUAUCAAGAAUUUUCAAAUCUAUAGCUACCUUAAACCUAGUAAAGUUCACAAGGACCAGUUUCGUAGCGAGAACGAGUAAUGUAUGUCGUCCAGCUACUAUACCAACUCCUUAAAUGACUUUAGUUAGUAUAGUACCUCUUCUGACCCCUGAAGUAUUCCUUUUCUUUCUUCGAGAAAGUUGAAUACCUGAACCGAUUAAGAUUAGAACGUCUACAGUAGUAAUCUGAAGUGGAAAAACUGUCCCUAUACGUUGACACCUCUCUUUCUUACGUCACUAUCGACCUCUCACCUCUGUCACCUUCUUCCACCCUCGGUGUACAAGUAACGUUGCGAAACGAUGAAUGGUAAACGUACACCUCCUGCGAGACGUCCAGUCCGUAAAAAUGUUUAACAUUAUCUUAACCCAUGCUCAAAGUUCGCCCUCGACCUCGAUGAAAAACAAGCAGUUAAAUUGAAAAUGAUUAAACAUUGAAUUUACCUAGCUAAUCAUCACAGCCCCGGGACCAAGAUUUCGUUCAGCACUCCGCAGAUGAUGGUUUUGUUAGACCAAGAAUAGCUCAUAACGGAUGACUCUGUGGUACAACGAUCUAUUCAUAUUUGUGGUCCAAUAGAGAUUAGUACACAACGUCGAAGAUGGUAGGAGUACAAAUCUAUGAAUUACGACUGUACACUUGGUUUUUAGAUUCUACUUGUGUUAAUAAUCACCUACUAUGAAACUAGUUAUUAAAGAUACCGUAGUCAGUACGUGAUUAAAUCUGUAUAAGACAAAAAAGCUUUCGUUAAAUAGGGUUUUAAAAUCGAUCCGGCGUAACGUAAAAAUAGGACUUAGAGAUAGUAGCUUACAAAAAAGUUUCUAAAUAAUUUAAAUACCCUGUGUAAACGAGGUAAAAUUAAGUAAAUGGUAUAUAAUUGGGUGAAGUUAAUCGUUGUUCAAGGGUUCGACUUUGAUAACGCUAGACCCGACCAUACACUGACGGUAAAAGCGUAAUAACUAUAAAAGUGUUACCUAUGUAAUCUCGUAACGUAAAAAUUUCAUUUCAAGGUCGUUAAUAAAAAAUCGUCUUUAUGUUACUAGACAUACGUUUGUUAGAGGGACAAAAUCAUUACAACACCCUGUAGUAUCUCGUUUACUGUACAGUGUAAGGGUCAUUUACACAGUUAGUAUGAUUUAGCUACCAAAGAUUAAAACCUAUAACUUUAUUACUAUAAAAGAACUAAUAUUAUACUAUCAUGACUAAUUGAGUAAAAGACAAAGUUCGAUAGAACUGUAAAGAAUCGAUAAAACUACAAAACGAACCAUCUUUCAUAGUUACAUGACGAACUCUUCUGCAUUCACACCCUCUAACACAAAAGUCUCUUAACACCAAAGUUUCAAUAAACAUCUUCAUUAAAUAUAAAUAGAAUUCCAAUGAUCCUAUGUAACAUACUUGGAAAGAAAAAAGUAAUAGUAUAUCCGGUUCUACAAGAGGUAUACGACGUAGACCUUGCGGAUGCUGUUCUAAUUGGUACACUUCUGAGCCAAUGUACCAAAAUAAAAUUUACUUCAACACACACACUCCCUCACUAUCGUUAUUUAAACACGCACUUGAUUACUGCAACCAUUCUUAAAUCCACAAACAUUUUACCCGCUACUAUCCGCGGCGGUUUAAAGCCGGCCAGCUGCGCGUCGGCAGACUAAUCAGGUGGGUCCCGGCAGACUAGAGCGCUUUUUGCGGGAUAUAGUUAUUUUUUUUCGAGAGGAUGAGGUUGACUGUGCCCGCUAGACGGCGGCAGUUACACGCACACGUGAGGCCGCUCGCGCCGUCGCGGGGUCGCAGUCGGGAGGAGCGUCGUAGGGCGCGAGCACCUUUUCGAGCAGUCGUGGGAGCUACCAGCAGCAGGCGUGGCGAAUCGUUGGGGGUUAGGAGGUUCGAGAAUAAGGGUGCCCGUACUUUGUCGUCUUUAGUGGUACUUUUAUCCCUACAUCGUUUAGAUGUUUGGCUAUCAUCGUUUUUAGGAUUUGCCACCAUUGUUUUACCACGUGACCAAGGUCUUUUUUGUUUUUGUACCAUCGUUUAAAACCCAACCAAAGGUCGUUUUUUUGCUGCUACCACCAUCGUUUCACCAUGUAUCCAAGGUCAUUUUUUGAUUUUUGGUACCAUCGUUCCACUAUGUAUCCAAGGUCGUUUUUUUGUGGUACCGUCGUUUUUUUACCCGAUCAAGGUCGUUUUGAACUUCUGCCACCAUCGUCUUUAACCCCAAACAAGGUCGUUUUACUUCUUGACAAAGGUCGUUUUGAACUUCUGGCACCAUCGUCUUUAACCCCAACCAAGGUUGUUUUACUUAUUGACAAAGGUCGUCUGGCACCAUCGUUUUUAACCCCAACCAAGGUCGUGUUUCUUCUUGACCAAGGUCGUUUCUUAUUGUGGCAGAGGCGAACGGCCAAGGUCGUGACGAACACGACUGACGUCGUGCCGGUGCGCGGCCAACAUCGAGGAGCGGCGCGGCCAUCGUCGUGGUGCCCCUGCAUCAUCGUCGUCGCUGCUCGCGGCCGAUCGUUGCCGGUGACGUGCGUGCUUUAGGAGCACCCGAUGACGAACACGUCGUGGCCGGUUAUGGGGCGACUGACGAGCGGGUACGUCGUUUCUAUCGUUACCUCUUCCAGCGAUGCCUCAUCUCCAACCUAGCGUACCCCUCGAGCAGCCUCCUCAUCGUCUGCCCUAUACAUCCUCUCCUACCCUAGACGUCGAAUCCUCUACCCCCCGCUACCUCUACCGAUAAAAACAAAGCAUAACCUACACCUACA